ensembl:snRNA U6 U6 spliceosomal RNA
UUAAAUCUUCACAAAUAAAUCUUUAAAAAAAAUAAAAUUGGAAUAAUACAGAGAAGAUUAGCAGGGACCCUGUGCAAGGAUAACACACAAAUUUGUGAAGCGUUCCAUAUUUUU